rnacentral:rRNA from 1 species
UAACACGUANGGAACCUGCCCGCGCACCGGGAAUACGCUCUGGAAACGGAGAACAAAUCCCGAUGUACAGGAAGGAGGCAUCUUCUUUCUGUGAAACAUCCUUUAGGGGAUGGGGCGCGGAUGGACCUGCGGUGCAUUAGUUUGUUGGCGGGGUAAAGGCCCACCAAGACGAUGAUGCAUAGCCGGCCUGAGAGGGCGGACGGCCACAUUGGGACUGAGACACGGCCCAGACUCCUGCGGGAGGCAGCAGUAGGGAAUUUUCGUCAAUGGGCGCAAGCCUGAACGAGCGAUGCCGCGUGAGUGAAGAAGGCCUUCGGGUCGUAAAGCUCUGUUGCGGGGGAAAAAAGGCAGCAUCAGGAAAUGGGUGCUGACUGAUGGUGCCCCGCCAGAAAGUCACGGCUAACUACGUGCCAGCAGCCGCGGUAAUACGUAGGUGGCGAGCGUUAUCCGGAAUGAUUGGGCGUAAAGGGUGCGCAGGCGGUCCUGCAAGUCUGGAGUGAAACGCAUGAGCUCAACUCAUGCAUGGCUUUGGAAACUGGAGGACUGGAGAGCAGGAGAGGGCGGUGGAACUCCAUGUGUAGCGGUAAAAUGCGUAGAUAUAUGGAAGAACACCAGUGGCGAAGGCGGCCGCCUGGCCUGUUGCUGACGCUGAGGCACGAAAGCGUGGGGAGCAAAUAGGAUUAGAUACCCUAGUAGU